AUGACGGAGCAACUGGAGGGUUUCAGGCACUCAGGACCCUUUCAGGCAUCCAGCAGUAGGAGAAGCUUGGCCAUUCUGGUACACAGAGGUCUCAUGAAUGGGAACAGUGUCUUAGAAGAGACCCCAGAGAGCUCCCUAGCGCCUUUAUGCCGAGUGAGGUUUAUAGCAAGAAGAUGGGGCUGUCCGUGAACCAGGAAGUGGGCUCUCGCCAGGCACGAAAUCUGCCAGCACCUGGAUCCUGGACUCGCAGCCUCCAGAACUGUGAGAAAUAAAUUUCUAUUGUUUUAAGCCACCCAGUCUAUGGUACUGUGUUACAGCAGCCCAAACAGACUAAGGCACUGAUGUUAAAAUCAUCUAAGGAAUUUUAAUUCAGUUCUA